UACAGCCAUACCACCCUGAAUGCACCAGAUCUCGUCUGAUCUCAGAAGCUAAGCAGGGUCGGGCCUGAUUAGUACUUAUAUAAAUUAUUAAAGAGAAAUAAAAAAUCAUCAGUAC
ensembl:rRNA 5S_rRNA 5S ribosomal RNA